rnacentral:rRNA from 1 species
UUGGAGGGCAAGUCUGGUGCCAGCAGCCGCGGUAAUUCCAGCUCCAAUAGCGUAUAUUAAAGUUGUUGCAGUUAAAAAGCUCGUAGUUGAAUUUCGGGAUCAGUACGCCGGUCGUGCCUUCGGUAUGCACUGGUGUCACUGGUUUCUCCCUUCUGAAGAACCAUCAUGCCAUUCAGUUGGUGUGGCGGGGAAUCAGGACUGUUACUUUGAAAAAAUUAGAGUGUUUAAAGCAGGCUCGCGCUUGAAUACAUUAGCAUGGAAUAAUGAAAUAGGACGUUUGACCCUAUUUUGUUGGUUUCUAGGAUCGACGUAAUGAUUAAUAGGGAUAGUUGGGGGCAUUAGUAUUCAAUUGUCAGAGGUGAAAUUCUUGGAUUUAUUGAAGACUAACUACUGCGAAAGCAUUUGCCAAGGAUGUUUUCAUUAAUCAAGAACGAAAGUUAGGGGAUCGAAGACGAUCAGAUACCGUCGUAGUCUUAACCAUAAACUAUGCCGACUAGGGAUCGGAUGAUGUUAAUUUUUUAAUGACUCAUUCGGCGCCUUACGGGAAAC